rnacentral:rRNA from 1 species
AAAAAACYUCCUGKUUGUUAAAGGAGGACAUAUUCUGAGAGUAACUGUCAGGUAUGACGGUAUUUAGCAGAAAGGCACGCUACUACGUGCCAGCAGCGCGUAUACGUAGUGCAAGCGUGUCCGGAUUUAUUGGGCGUAAAGCGAGCGCAGGCGGUUUUUUAAGUCUGAUGUGAAAGCCUUCGGCUCAACCGAAGAAGUGCAUCGGAAACUGGGARACUUGAGUGCAGAAGAGGACAGUGGAACUCCAUGUGUAGCGGUGAAAUGCGUAGAUAUAUGGAAGAACACCAGUGGCGAAGGCGGCUGUCUGGUCUGUAACUGACGCUGAGGCUCGAAAGUAUGGGUAGCAAACAGGAUUAGAUACCCUGGUAGUCCAUACCGUAAACGAUGAAUGCUAAGUGUUGGAGGGUUUCCGCCCUUCAGUGCUGCAGCUAACGCAUUAAGCAUUCCGCCUGGGGAGUACGGCCGCAAGGCUGAAACUCAAAGGAAUUGACGGGGGCCCGCACAAGCGGUGGAGCAUGUGGUUUAAUUCGAAGCUACGCGAAGAACCUUACCAGGUCUUGACAUACUAUGCAAAUCUAAGAGAUUAGACGUUCCCUUCGGGGACAUGGAUACAGGUGGUGCAUGGUUGUCGUCAGCUCGUGUCGUGAGAUGUUGGGUUAAGUCCCGCAACGAGCGCAACCCUUAUUAUCAGUUGCCAGCAUUAAGUUGGGCACUCUGGUGAGACUGCCGGUGACAAACCGGAGGAAGGUGGGGAUGACGUCAAAUCAUCAUGCCCCUUAUGACCUGGGCUACACACGUGCUACAAUGGAUGGUACAACGAGUUGCGAACUCGCGAGAGUAAGCUAMWCWCUUAAAGCCAUUCUCAGUUCGGAUUGUAGGCUGCAACUCGCCUACAUGAAGUCGGAAUCGCUAGUAAUCGCGGAUCAGCAUGCCGCGGUGAAUACGUUCCCGGGCCUUGUACACACCGCCCGUCACACCAUGAGAGUUUGUAACACCCAAAGUUCGGUGGGGUAACCUWYRAGGAACCAGCCGCUUAAGUGACAGU